AGUAGUUUGAUCCUGGCUCAGAACGAACGCUGGCGGCAUGCCUAACACAUGCAAGUCGAACGAGACCUUCGGGUCUAGUGGCGCACGGGUGCGUAACGCGUGGGAACCUGCCUUUAGGUUCGGAAUAACUCAGAGAAAUUUGAGCUAAUACCGGAUAAUGUCUUCGGACCAAAGAUUUAUCGCCUUUAGAUGGGCCCGCGUAAGAUUAGCUAGUUGGUGGGGUAAAGGCCUACCAAGGCGACGAUCUUUAGCUGGUCUGAGAGGAUGAUCAGCCACACUGGGACUGAGACACGGCCCAGACUCCUACGGGAGGCAGCAGUGGGGAAUAUUGGACAAUGGGCGAAAGCCUGAUCCAGCAAUGCCGCGUGAGUGAUGAAGGCCUUAGGGUUGUAAAGCUCUUUUACCCGAGAUGAUAAUGACAGUAUCGGGAGAAUAAGCUCCGGCUAACUCCGUG
rnacentral:rRNA from 1 species